UACGUAGGUGGCGAGCGUUGUCCGGAAUUACUGGGCGUAAAGCGUGCGUAGACGGUCAAGUAAGUCGGGUGUGAAAGCCCCGGGCUCAACCUGGGAAUUGCAUUCGAGACUGCGUGGCUAGGGUGCGGAAGAGGGAAGCGGAAUUUCCGGUGUAGCGGUGAAAUGCGUAGAUAUCGGGAGGAACACCGGUGGCGAAGGCGGCGAUCUGGGUAGAUACUGACGCUGAGGUGCGAAAGCGUGGGGAGCAAACAGG
rnacentral:rRNA from 1 species